GAUGAACGCUGGCGGCGUGCCUAAUACAUGCAAGUCGAGCGAACAGACGAGGAGCUUGCUCCUCUGACGUUAGCGGCGGACGGGUGAGUAACACGUGGAUAACCUACCUAUAAGACUGGGAUAACUUCGGGAAACCGGAGCUAAUACCGGAUAAUAUAUUGAACCGCAUGGUUCAAUAGUGAAAGACGGUUUUGCUGUCACUUAUAGAUGGAUCCGCGCCGCAUUAGCUAGUUGGUAAGGUAACGGCUUACCAAGGCGACGAUGCGUAGCCGACCUGAGAGGGUGAUCGGCCACACUGGAACGGAGACACGGUCCAGACGCCUAAGGGAGGCAGCAGUAGGGAAUCUUCCGCAAUGGGCGAAAGCUUGACGGAGCAACGCCGCGUGAGUGAUGAAGGUCUUCGGAUCGUAAAACUCUGUUAUUAGGGAAGAACAAAUGUGUAAGUAACUAUGCACGUCUUGACGGUACCUAAUCAGAAAGCCACGGCUAACUACGUG
rnacentral:rRNA from 1 species